GAGUUUGAAAUGACUAGCAAGUUUGAGUGGCUUCAUCCAUCUCAAAUCAAGGAUGCGAAUGGUAGAAGGCCAGGGGACCCACUCUAUGAUAAGCAAACACUCUAUAUUCCACCUGAUGUGUUGAGAAAAAUGUCCGCUUCUCAGAAGCAGUACUGGGAUGUCAAAUGUAAAUACAUUGACAUUGUGCUUUUCUUUAAAGUGGGAAAAUUUUAUGAGCUGUAUGAACUAGAUGCUGAAAUUGGUCACAAGGAGCUUGAUUGGAAAAUGACGCAAAGUGGCGUGGGAAAAUGUCGACAGGUUGGUAUAUCUGAAAGUGGAAUUGAUGAAGCUGUUCAGAAGCUCCUAGCGCGAGGGUACAAAGUUGGACGGAUGGAACAGUUGGAAACAUCCGAGCAAGCAAAAUCUAGAGGCUCUACUUCUGUUAUUCGUAGAAAACUAGUUCAUGUACUCACCCCUUCUACGACAAGUGAGGGUAAUAUUGGGCCUGAUGCAGUUCAUCUU
rnacentral:misc_RNA from 1 species